rnacentral:lncRNA from 1 species
CCCACGGGUGGUCGACGCAAUAUAGAAAAAUUUAUUCUUCUAUCCAUCGAUGGAAGAAGGAAGGUCCUUAAACCGCUGAUGAUGGGGCCGAGGACAGAAGAACCACCAUCCUCGUUCUCGAAGAUGCUUCUUCAACAUAAAAAUGAUCCAAAACAAAGAAACUCAGGGCUCAAUCUAAAGAAGGUAACAAAGGAUAACAAAACAAGCUAAAACCCUAAAAGAGUUGGGGGUGAGCUGAGCGGAGAUGACCUCAUAUAGGUCGAGGAUGUUGGCAAAGUAAGAAUGAAGGGG